GAACCGGGGGAACUGAAACAUCUAAGUACCCCGAGGAAAAGAAAUCAACCGAGAUUCCCCCAGUAGCGGCGAGCGAACGGGGAGGAGCCCAGAGCCUGAAUCAGCAUGUGUGUUAGUGGAAGCGUCUGGAAAGGCGCGCGAUACAGGGUGACAGCCCCGUACACAAAAGCGCAUGUGCUGUGAGCUCGAUGAGUAGGGCGGGACACGUGGUAUCCUGUCUGAAUAUGGGGGGACCAUCCUCCAAGGCUAAAUACUCCUGACUGACCGAUAGUGAACCAGUACCGUGAGGGAAAGGCGAAAAGAACCCCGGCGAGGGGAGUGAAAAAGAACCUGAAACCGUGU
rnacentral:rRNA from 1 species